GGGGCUGAUUCUGGAUUCGACGGGAUUUGCGAAACCCAAGGUGCAUGCCGAGGGGCGGUUGGCCUCGUAAAAAGCCGCAAAAAAAUAGUCGCAAACGACGAAACCUACGCUUUAGCAGCUUAAUAACCUGCUUAGAGCCCUCUCUCCCUAGCCUCCGCUCUUAGGACGGGGAUCAAGAGAGGUCAAACCCAAAAGAGAUCGCGCGGAUGCCCUGCCUGGGGUUGAAGCGUUAAAACGAAUCAGGCUAGUCUGGUAGUGGCGUGUCCGUCCGCAGGUGCCAGGCGAAUGUAAAGACUGACUAAGCAUGUAGUACCGAGGAUGUAGGAAUUUCGGACGCGGGUUCA
rnacentral:tmRNA from 1 species